GUAAGGAAUAUUGGUCAAUGGUGGGAACACUGAACCAGCCAUCCCGCGUGCAGGACGAAGGCCCUCUGGGUUGUAAACUGCUUUUACCAGGAAAGAAACGAGUGGAUUCAUCUGCUCCUGACGGUACCUGGGGAAUAAGCACCGGCUAACUCCGUGCCAGCAGCCGCGGUAAUACGGAGGGUGCAAGCGUUAUCCGGAAUCACUGGGUUUAAAGGGUGCGUAGGCGGCUUGAUAAGUCAGGGGUGAAAGCUCACCGCUCAACGGUGGAACUGCCCUUGAUACUGUCAGGCUCGAAUUGGGUUGAGGCAGGCGGAAUGUGGCAUGUAGCGGUGAAAUGCUUAGAUAUGCCAUAGAACACCGAUUGCGAAGGCAGCCUGCCAAGCCUUGAUUGACGCUGAGGCACGAAAGCGUGGGGAGCGAACAGGAUUAGAAACCCCGGUAGUCC
rnacentral:rRNA from 1 species